UCUUAUUCUUAUUCUUAUUAUUCUUCUUAAUCUUCUUCUUCUUCUUCUUCUUCUUCUUCUUCUUCUUCUUCUUCUCCUCCUCCUCCUCCCGGAAUAGCCUUGGCCUUCAAAGCAAGGUUGGGUGAGAAUUUCUUUGCCCGUUGUACACGAGCUAAGGCGUUGUCGCGGUCUUGUUCAAGAUGUUCAUGGCAAUGAACUCAUCCAAUACAUCACUUGAGGACAAGG
rnacentral:lncRNA from 1 species